GCAGCUACCAUGCAGUCGAGCGGCAGCACAGGGGAAGCUUUGCUCCCCUCGUGCUGACGAGCGGCGGACGGGUGAGUAAUGUCUGGGGAUCUGCCUGAUGGAGGGGGAUAACUACUGGAAACGGUAGCUAAUACCGCAUAACGUCGCAAGACCAAAGUGGGGGACCUUCGGGCCUCACGCCAUCGGAUGAACCCAGAUGGGAUUAGCUAGUAGGUGGGGUAACGGCUCACCUAGGCGACGAUCCCUAGCUGGUCUGAGAGGAUGACCAGCCACACUGGAACUGAGACACGGUCCAGACUCCUACGGGAGGCAGCAGUGGGGAAUAUUGCACAAUGGGGGAAACCCUGAUGCAGCCAUGCCGCGUGUGUGAAGAAGGCCUUCGGGUUGUAAAGCACUUUCAGCGGGGAGGAAGGCGGUAAGGUUAAUAACCUUGCCGAUUGACGUUACCCGCAGAAGAAGCACCGGCUAACUCCGUGGCCAGCAGA
rnacentral:rRNA from 1 species